rnacentral:rRNA from 1 species
CCUGUCGAUCUGGACCAGGCCCUGUUCCGCCAUACGCUCGACGUGGUAGUGGACCAGUUGCCGGCUCAUGCCGGUCCGCUGGGCCAGCUCGGCCUUGGUGCCCGGACCGUCGGAUGCCAGGGACUUGACGAUACACUCCUCGGAGGGGCCCAUGGCCAGCACACGGUGGUUGCAGGGCCAGUACCUGGUGUACUUGCCCGUCUUGACGGACCUUAGGACAUCUCCCCGCACCAGCACCCGCAGAUGGUGCUGGACCGUGCCGCUGGCCGCGCCCACGCCGUCCCUCACCUCGGUGAAUGUGGCCCCGGGGUUCCGGUUGACGUAGUUGAAGAUCUCGUUCCUGAGGGAGUGGUUGAGCAACUGGGGCUGGGGGAUGCGGAGGUACAGCGGGGCCAGUAGGAACGAGCUGUUCGUCCAUGUACUGUCAUCAAGAAAGAGGUCCGGGAGGU